UCAAUUCAUAAAUCAACUUUCAUCUUUGAAUUCAAUCUUUUCUCCAUUUUUUCUUACGUAGCAUCUGUUGUUCAUAGUUUCUUUUUCUUCAAUUUAUUAAUUCCUAGUUAGCCACCUCUUUAAAUCGUUUGCAAUUCUUUUUUUUUUUCAAAUUCCCUUUUCAUUUCCAAUAGUCAACCACCCCACUUUAAUAUAUUUUUCCAGCCCCC
rnacentral:lncRNA from 1 species